rnacentral:misc_RNA from 1 species
AACGCACGAGACCUGCGGACCUGCGGAGGGAUCAUUAACAAUAAAAAAAAUGAAUCCUUUUUCCAAUUCGAUGGGGUAAAACCUGUCGAUUGGAAAAAAGCAAACUUGUGAUGCAAAGUUAAAGUCUUUACCAGUAGGAAUGGGGUUCAUUCCUCGCUUAUUGGUAAUUCUUUAGCAACCAAUUGAUAUUCUUUGUCUGAAUGUGUCGGUUCUUUAUUGAACCUUCCAUUUUACUUAACC